ensembl:lincRNA
GUCCAAGAUGGUCCAUUAUACCAGACUCUACAUUUUUGCAUAAGUAAACUUUCCUCUUAUAAAUUUCACCAGUGUACUUGAUAUGUAAUGUAUCCUGAUGUACAGUCUCAUUUUAAUGGAUUGAUCUAUAUGGAUACUGAAGGAGUUAAGGACAUAAUACCC